rnacentral:piRNA from 1 species
UGAGAGUCGAGGCCUGAAGAUG